rnacentral:rRNA from 1 species
GGAUUAGAUACCCUGGUAGUCCACGCUGUAAACGAUGAGUGCUAGCCGUUUGUAAUUUAUUACAAGUGGUGCAGUUAACACAUUAAGCACUCCGCCUGGGGAGUACGAUCGCAAGAUUAAAACUCAAAGGAAUUGAUGGGGGCCCGCACAAGCGGUGGAGCAUGUGGUUUAAUUCGAUGCAACGCGAAGAACCUUACCAGGUCUUGACUUCCUGACUAUGGUUAUUAGAAAUAAUUUCCUUCAGUUCGGCUGGGUCAGUGACAGGUGCUGCAUGGCUGUCGUCAGCUCGUGCCG